GACGAACGCUGGCGGCGUGCCUAAUACAUGCAAGUUGAGCGCUGAAGGUUGGUACUUGUACCAACUGGAUGAGCAGCGAACGGGUGAGUAACGCGUGGGGAAUCUGCCUUUGAGCGGGGGACAACAUUUGGAAACGAAUGCUAAUACCGCAUAAAAACUUUAAACACAAGUUUUAAGUUUGAAAGAUGCAAUUGCAUCACUCAAAGAUGAUCCCGCGUUGUAUUAGCUAGUUGGUGAGGUAAAGGCUCACCAAGGCGAUGAUACAUAGCCGACCUGAGAGGGUGAUCGGCCACAUUGGGACUGAGACACGGCCCAAAAUCCUACGGGAGGCAGCAGUAGGGAAUCUUCGGCAAUGGACGAAAGGCUGACCGAGCAACGCCGCGUGAGUGAAGAAGGUUUUCGGAUCGUAAAACUCUGUUGGUAGAGAAGAACGUUGGUGAGAGUGGAAAGCUCAUCAAGUGACGGUAACUACCCAGAAAGGGACGGCUAACUACGUG
rnacentral:rRNA from 1 species